rnacentral:rRNA from 1 species
GCCUACGGCCAUCCCACCCUGGGUAACGCCGAUCUCGUCUGAUUCGGAAGCUAAGGCGGGUCGGGGCCUGGUUAGUAUUUGGGAUGGGAGAGCCUCCUGGGAAUACGGGUUGGCUGUGUUUU